AUGAGGAUUUACAGCCUCUUUAUUGCAACCGUUCUUGCUGUGUUUUCCUGCCUUGUGACCAAAAAAGGAUGUCCUUCAUUUGCUGUGGCCCUUCCAAUUCCAGAGCCCAGUCCGGGAGCGGGAUCUUCGAGAGCACGAACAGCUGUUCAUGCUGCAAGGAAUAUUCGCAGCAAGAGAGAAGCCGUUUUAAAGAAUUUCGGUCCCAAAAAUGUGAGCGACAAAGUUGCGAAAGAAACAAUGCGUGCGACUAGAAAGGCCGAAAAGCACGAAAGGCCACAACAGAAGCGACAGCAUCGACAUAGCGGCGUUGCUCGAUAGACCUGAUGCUGAAGAAAAUAAGGCAAACAUCGCUGUUCGCCAUAUCUGGUUUGGCGCGGCUGCUGCUGUCUGCUGGUGGUCAAUCGAUAUCUCGCAGGAUAUGGUUCUGGAUAUAUAUAAGAGUUUGAUGUGCGCGCCGAUGUCAAGAACCACCCAACCUGCUUAUACAAUCUACGUAUGCUCUUCCCACAAAUUAGUGCCAGUAAGCGCACCACAUUUCGGCGGAUCAAAAAUAAAUAUCUGCACACAGUC